rnacentral:lncRNA from 1 species
GGUGAGUGAGGCCUAGCCAUGCAAGCGCAGGGUCAGAUCCUGCCUUUAUUUAAAACGUUAAAGUUUUGUUCAUCAUAGAAGUGUUGCAUUCAUUAUGAUUUUUACAAAUAUCGCAUUAAGAUAUUGCUCGUUGCGCUUACCGAGCUGAGAUUUUGCGCACAAAGGGCAUGCCUCACUUGUUCCCCUCUGGUCCUGGCCCUGCUUAUGGAUUUGCUUUUUUUUUUUUUUUUUAUCACAUGACAGACUUUAGGCGCUGAACUAGGGGCUCCUGGAACUCCCUGCCCUAUCAUGGCAGAGAAAGCAGAGAAGGUUAAAGAGAAAGGCAAACAGUUGCCUUUCUCCUGUUUUCUUCCAUGUCUGUAUAUUUGCUUUAAGUACUUGCCACCUUUCCUAUGGCUGAUUGUUCCAAAGGGAAGAGCCUGGCAGGGCCAGGACGCCAGAGGGGAAGGGGACCAUAGUCUGGACAGCAUUGCAAACAAACCCCCUUCACUGCAGGAAAUAACUUCAGGGACGAAUCUGCAGAAUUGUUGUGCCAAGCCCUAUCGACCAAUUACCAAAUCAAAACCCUGGAUCUCAGCCACAACCAGUUCUCUGAUAAGGGAGGAGAGCACGUGGGCCAGAUGCUGGGUGAGUCCCCCACGGAGGGAAGGGGUCAGUAAAGGAGAGGCACUUGGCAGACAGUCACCUGUCAGGGCCGCAUCUCCUGGUUUUUAUUGUUAGUGAAUGUUCGGAUCAUAAAGGGAUGGAAGCCACACCCCAAACACAUCUUAAGGGGGGCCAACACCUGAUGUGGGAAAAACAUAGGAAGAAAUAACUUGCUUAUUUAAAAAAUAACUUACUGGGGCGCCUGGGUGGUGCAGUCAUUAAGCGUCUGCCUUCGGCUCAGGGCGUGAUCCCGGCAUUCUGGGAUCGAGCCCCACAUCAGGCUUCUGCGCCAGGAGCCUGCUGCUUCCUCUCCCAGUCCCCCUGCUUGUGUUCCCUCUCUCGCUCACUGUCUCUCUCUGUGAAAUAAAUAAAUAAAAUCUUUAAAAAAAAAAAACAAAAAAGAACUUACUGACCUCA